rnacentral:rRNA from 1 species
CAAUAGCGUAUAUUAAAGUUGUUGCAGUUAAAAAGCUCGUAGUUGUAUUUGUGACGUGCAUUGGGCGCCCUUUCCUAUUGGAUUUUGGUGUUGCCUGGUGUUGUCACCCUUGGGUGGAACCUGUGUGGCAUUAGGUUGUCGUGCAGGGGAUGCCCAUCGUUUACUGUGAAAAAUUAGGGUGUUCAAAGCAGGCUUAUGCCGUUGAAUAUAUUAGCAUGGAAUAAUGAGAUAGGGCCCUGGUGCUAUUUUGUUGGUUUGUGCACCGAGGUAAUGAUUAAUAGGGACAGUUGGGGGUAUUCGUAUUCCAUUGUCAGAGGUGAAAUUCUUGGAUUUUUGGAAGACGAGCUACUGCGAAAGCAUUUACCAAGGAUGUUUUCAUUAAUCAAGAACGAAAGUUAGGGGAUCGAAGACGAUUAGAUACCGU